rnacentral:rRNA from 1 species
AACGAACGCUGGCGGCAUGCCUAACACAUGCAAGUCGAACGAGACCUUCGGGUCUAGUGGCGCACGGGUGCGUAACGCGUGGGAACCUGCCCUUAGGUUCGGCAUAACUCCCCGAAAGGGGUGCUAAUACCGGAUCAUGUCUUCGGACCAAAGAUUUAUCGCCUUUGGAUGGGCCCGCGUUGGAUUAGCUAGUUGGUAGGGUAAAAGCCUACCAAGGCGACGAUCCAUAGCUGGUCUGAGAGGAUGAUCAGCCACACUGGGACUGAGACACGGCCCAGACUCCUACGGGAGGCAGCAGUGGGGAAUAUUGGACAAUGGGCGAAAGCCUGAUCCAGCAAUGCCGCGUAAGUGAUGAAGGCCUUAGAGUUGUAAAGCUCUUUUACCCGGGAUGAUAAUGACAGUACCGAGAGAAUAAGCUCCGGCUAACUCCGUG